AACCAGAAGCCGGCCUCCGCCACCCGCCGCAGCACCGGAGGGAUUUCCGACGGCCGAUCGAGGUAAAUUUCAUACCCCCGACUCGUUUUUCCACGCUGAUUUUCCCAGUGGCCAAAUCGGAGCCAAAAUCCCGGCCAAACGGCCGGAAAACACGGCCGAAAGCCAGCGGCGCCGCCGCGCCCCUUCUCGGUUUUUGCCUCCGAUGAGGC
rnacentral:lncRNA from 1 species